UGGUAGAUGCACCUUGAUCUUCAACUCCCCUAGUCGGCUAACACCCACUGGGGGUUUUUUUA
rfam:Nostoc calcicola FACHB-389 FACHB-389_Scaffold_50, whole genome shotgun sequence.